rnacentral:rRNA from 1 species
CUUUAUAUAAGUUUGGCAAGCAAAGGUGGCCUCUGAUUUAAGCUACUGCAUGAAGAGGGGGUCUGCGUACCAUUAGCUAGUAGGUGGGGUAAUGGCCCACCUAGGCGACGAUGGUUAGCGGGUCUGAGAGGAUGAUCCGCCACACUGGCACUGGAACACGGGGCCAGACUCCUACGGGAGGCAGCAGUGAGGAAUAUUGCGCAAUGGGGGCAACCCUGACGCAGCGACGCCGCGUGAGUGAGGAAGGCCUUCGGGUCGUAAAGCUCUGUCAAAGGGAAAGAAGUGCAUGAUGGUUAAUACCUGUCAUGUUUGACGGUACCCUUAAAGGAAGCACCGGCUAACUCCGUGCCAGCAGCCGCGGUAAUACGGAGGGUGCAAGCGUUGUUCGGAAUCACUGGGCGUAAAGGGCGCGUAGGCGGUUUGAUAAGUCAGAUGUGAAAGCCCACGGCUUAACUGUGGAAGUGCAUUUGAAACUGUCAGACUUGAGUAUCAGAGGGGAAAGUGGAAUUCCCGGUGUAGAG